GUCUGGUGCCAGCAGCCGCGGUAAUUCCAGCUCCAAUAGCGUAUAUUAAAGUUGUUGCGGUUAAAAAGCUCGUAGUUGAAUCUGUGUGUCACGAUGCUGGUUCACCGCUCGCGGUGUUUAACUAGCAUGCCGUGAGACGUCCUACCGGUGGGCUUAGCUCUUCGCGGGGCGGUCCAACUAAUAUCCCAUCGCGGUGCUCUUCAUUGAGUGUCGAGGUGGGCCGGUACGUUUACUUUGAACAAAUUAGAGUGCUUAAAGCAGGCUAUCUUCGCCUGAAUACUGUGUGCAUGGAAUAAUGGAAUAGGACCUCGGUUCUAUUUUGUUGGUUUUCGGAACCCCGAGGUAAUGAUUAAUAGGGACAGAUGGGGGCAUUCGUAUUGCGACGUUAGAGGUGAAAUUCUUGGAUCGUCGCAAGACGGACAGAAGCGAAAGCAUUUGCCAAAAAUGUUUUCAUUAAUCAAGAACGAAAGUUAGAGGUUCGAAGGCGAUCAGAUACCGCCCUAGUUCUAACCAUAAACGAUGCCAGCUAGCGAUCCGCCGAAGUUCCUCCGAUGACUCGGCGGGCAGCUUCCGGGAAACCAAAGCUUUUGGGUUCCGGGGGAAGUAUGGUUGCAAAGCUGAAACUUAAAGGAAUUGACGGAAGGGCACCACCAGGAGUGGAGCCUGCGGCUUAAUUUGACUCAACACGGGAAACCUCACCAGGCCCGGACACCGGAAGGAUUGACAGAUUGAUAGCUCUUUCUUGAUUCGGUGGGUGGUGGUGCAUGGCCGUUCUUAGUUGGUGGAGCGAUUUGUCUGGUUAAUUCCGAUAACGA
rnacentral:rRNA from 1 species